rnacentral:tRNA from 1 species
CCCCCCGUAGCUCAGUGGCAGAGUGCCCCACUUAUUCUUAGGAGUAUUCUUAGGGGAGGAUCGCGGUUCGAGUCCGCGCGGGGGGA